rnacentral:ribozyme from 1 species
UUUUUUUUUUUUUUUUUUUUUUUUUUUUUUUUUUUUUUUUUACAUUCACCAUCUCU